rnacentral:rRNA from 1 species
CGCAUCUGUGCAUGCAGCAUAUCAAUAAGCGGAGGAAAAGAAACUAACAAGGAUUCCCCUAGUAACGGCGAGUGAAGCGGGAAGAGCUCAAAUUUGAAAUCUUAAAGGGUUUCCCUUUACGAAUUGUAGUUUAAAGAAGUGUUUUCUGUUGAGGUUUUGGUAAAAGUUCUUUGGAAUAGGACAUCAUAGAGGGUGAGAAUCCCGUAUUUGACCUUUACUUUCAACUUUGUGAUACACUUUCAAAGAGUCGGAUUGUUUGGGAAUGCAGUCCAAAAUGGGUGGUAAAUUUCAUCUAAAGCUAAAUAUUGGCGAGAGACCGAUAGCGAACAAGUACCGUGAGGGAAAGAUGAAAAGAACUUUGAAAAGAGAGUUAAACAGUACGUGAAAUUGUCAAAAGGGAAGCGUUUGACACCAGUGUUGUUUUUCUGAAAAUCAAUUAAAGAACUGUUUAUGCUAAGUUGUUUAGACUUUAUCAGCUAACUGUUUAGUUUUGAGCUUUUCUCUAAUGCACUUUUCAGUUAACAAGUCAACAUCAAUAUCUUUUGCUGUAAAAAAGCUUGAGGAAGGUGGCUUGAGAUCCGUCUUAAGUGUUUAUAGCCUCUUGCCUAUGCAGUCGGAGAGAUUGAGGUCUGCAGCGUAGAUCCUUCGGGGCUAAAUGCCUUGUGCUAAGUUAUAGCAUUUUAUAGACAACUUGUUGACUAUGAUUUGUCUUGUAGCUUACUCGCUUAUGUUAUUUUACCUACGCUUAGGAUGUUGAGUCAUCACACAUCUCU